GACGAACGCUGGCGGCGUGCUUAACACAUGCAAGUCGAACGCUGCAGCUUGGUGCUUUCGCUGGGUGGUUGAGUGGCGAACGGGUGAGUAAUACGUGAGUAACCUGCCCUUCACUCUGGGAUAACCCCGUGAAACUGGGUCUAAUACUGGAUAUGACAUGCCACUGCAUUGUGCUGUGUGGGAAGGGUUUUCCUGGUUUUGGAUGGGCUCACGGCCUAGCAGCUUGUUGGUGGGGUCAUGGCCUACCAAGGCGACGUCGGGUAGCCGGCGUGAGAGGGUGACUGGGCACACUGGGACUGAGACACGGCACAGAGUACUGCGGGAGGCAGCAGUGGGGAAUAGAGCACGAUGGGCGGAAGCCUGGUGCAGCGACGCCGCGUGAGGGAUGACGGCCUUCGGGUUGGAAGCCUCUGGCAGCACGGAAGAAGCGAGGUUGGCGGUACGUGCAGAAGAAGCGCCGGCUAACUACGUG
rnacentral:rRNA from 1 species